rnacentral:ncRNA from 12 species
AGUCGACGAGGACGGAACAGGCGGCCGUCGCACCUUAAUGGUCUUAAAGAGAUGCGGGCAGGUCAUCCCGCCGGGGUU